rnacentral:rRNA from 1 species
AGAGUUUGAUCCUGGCUCAGGACGAACGCUGGCGGCAUGCCUAACACAUGCAAGUCGAACGAGAAAGUUCCUUCGGGAGCGAUUAAAGUGGCGCACGGGUGAGUAACGCGUAGACAAUCUGCCCUUCAGUCUGGGACAACUUUUCGAAAGGAGAGCUAAUACCGGAUAACAAUGCAUGACACAAGUCAUAUAUUUGAAAGCUUUAUGUGCUGAAGGAGGGGUCUGCGUCCCAUUAGCUAGUUGGUAAGGUAAAGGCUUACCAAGGCAACGAUGGGUAGCGGGUUUGAGAGGACGAUCCGCCACACUGGAACUGAGACACGGUCCAGACUCCUACGGGAGGCAGCAGUGGGGAAUAUUGCACAAUGGAGGAAACUCUGAUGCAGCAAUGUCGCGUGAGUGAAGAAGGCCCUUGGGUCGUAAAGCUCUUUUAUGGGGGAAGAUGAUGACGGUACCCCAAGAAUAAGCACCGGCUAACUAUGUGCCAGCAGCCGCGGUAAUACAUAGGGUGCGAGCGUUGUUCGGAAUUACUGGGCGUAAAGGGCGCGCAGGCGGAAUAGUAAGUCGGAGGUGAAAGCCCGGGGCUCAACCCCGGAGGGUCUUUCGAAACUGCUAAUCUAGAGAGGGUCAGGGGCCGGCAGAAUUCCUGGUGUAGAGGUGAAAUUCGUAGAUAUCAGGAGGAAUACCGGUGGCGAAGGCGGCCGGCUGGGGCCACUCUGACGCUGAGGCGCGAAAGCGUGGGGAGCAAACAGGAUUAGAUACCCUGGUAGUCCACGCCGUAAACGAUGAGCACUUGGUGUCGGGGGAUUCGACCCCCUCGGUGCCGUAGCUAACGUGUUAAGUGCUCCGCCUGGGGACUACGACCGCAAGGUUGAAACUCAAAGGAAUUGACGGGGGCCCGCAC